rnacentral:rRNA from 1 species
GAUUUCUGGUCUGGUGCGCCUGGCCCGCCGCAUCAGCGUGUGAGUGCCGGGUCGCGCCUGCCAUCCUUCUAGAAAACGUAUCUACCCUUCACUGGGCCGGAUACGCGAUCUAGAUCUUUUACUUUGAAAAAAUUAGAGUGUUUAAAGCAGGCAUUUGCUAUGAAUACAUUAGCAUGGAAUAAUAAUCUAGGACUUUCGGUUCUAUUUUGUUGGUGUUCUGGAGCUGAAGUAAUGAUUGAUAGGGAUAGUUGGGGGUGCUAGUAUUCAAUGGCCAGAGGUGAAAUUCUCGGAUUCCUUGAAGACUAACUUAUGCGAAAGCAUU